UUACAGUGAUUUCAUGUUUCAAAGGAACUUUCACAAUGAAAUGGGGCUUAUUCACUCUCAAUUAUGCUGAAUUAUCCCCAUUAACUAGCCCUCUUGGGGGGGGGGAUGAUUUAGGAAAUUAUUUAAGAAAGGUUACUUGUUAUUGAUUUGAGACACAAUCCACACAAUGAGUCAAUGUUUGUAUUCAUUUAUUUGAAUUAAACUGUAAGAAAAAGGUUAAAAUUAAAUCAAUAUGGCAUAAUCAAUGAGCAGCUCAUGUGUAUGAUACAUUGCAUUUUGCUCUAAUUCAAUAUUUGCUGCCGCAGCGAGGUCGCCUGAGCGACCGAGCAAGGCAGCAGUCCUAAAUUUGAAAUAGCGUGCGAAAUCUUGAUUUUUGCCAAGAGCGAUGCAUUGUGGUCACACUUUUCGCAGUUCUUUUUUCAACCAUAAUGCAUUUCGGUUCUUUGAAUAAAACCUUCGUGGUCGCAAUUGUUUGCUCUUUCACGUCUACGUUUCAAAGACCAAGGUAAGCCUAUUUAUUCCCUUGUCAAACAUUUACACAAUUAUACUCGUGUGGUAAACAUGCAGUCGUAUCCUUUUAGAUUGUAAUACACUGGCGUCGUCUGGAGUUUAACUUUAGGUUUUGAUAUACUGGCAGAACGUUUCAACGAAAACAUACUAUAUAAAAAAGGGUUUUAAUAUACUGGCAGAACUAUACUGUGCUAUUUCAGGAUGGCACAUCCACGACCACCCUAUUGCAGCUGUUUGACGACAAACUACAGCAAUUAUUCAACAUCUACAAAGAGCAAAACAUGCACUUGCGAUACCGAGUUUGAGGGAACUGACGACGAAAUUCUUUUAACUGUUGAGGCGAAAGUACUCUUUAACAACAAAAGAAAUGUUGUCUCCAUAGAGAAGCUUUCUACUUCAUAACAUAUAUAUACAGCAUGCUUAUAUAAACUAUAUUCUUUAGACGGUCAACAUUAGAUUGUGCAUGACUUUGUAGCCGAAAACAUUUCAGCCAUUCUUACCACUUUUUAGAAGUUUUGCAUGUACUGUUCUGUUAUCUUUGUUCUGUUAUCUUUGUUCUGACAUUUUAAAUUCCACAGAAACGCUCUUUAGUGUAAAUAUUUUUUCUAUGAAUAGAAUGUUUCUCCAAUGCCUUACUAUUUAACCAUUUAUAUAAAUUACUUUAGGCAGAAACACUAAAUAUAACUGUAUUGUUGUUUUUCAAGAUUAUGCGGCGAACUAUAAACGUAUCUUUACCCCUUAGUUCGGUAUUAGGCAGAUUUAAAAAGACCUCACGGUCGUCAAAUGUCAACUUAAAAAUGACGUUCUAUCUCCAUGCAAGCAUACGUUUUUGGCGUCUAUAUAAAUCUGCUUAACAUAAUGAUAAGUACAAUUUUUUGUCUUAUUUCUGUGACAACUCUGUGUUUUGCUAUUGAAGGCAGCAUUACUACCCUUAGGGUAAC